rnacentral:rRNA from 1 species
CCGGCUAACUCCGUGCCAGCAGCCGCGGUAAUACGGAGGGUGCGAGCGUUAAUCGGAAUUACUGGGCGUAAAGCGCAUGCAGGUGGUUUGUUAAGUUCAGAUGUGAAAGACCCGGGGCGUCAACCUCCGGAAUAGCAUUUGAAACUAGGCAGACUAGAGUACUGUAGAGGGGGGUAGGAAGUUUCAGGUGUAGCGGUGAAAUAGCGUAGAGAUCUGAAGGAAUACCGGUGGCGAAGGCGGCCCCCUCGGACAGAUACUGACACUCAGAUGCGAAAGCGUGGGGAGCAAACAGGAUUAGAUACCCUGGUAG